GCAGCCGCUGAAGAGGUAACAAGGUUUAGUGAGCAGGAAGAGGCUGUGGCAGAAAGCAAUCCAGAGGCAGAAGCAGAGGCCAGAGAGGAGGUGGGCCAAGAGGCAGAAUGGAGGCAGGCUCAAGAAUCCAGGGAGUCUCCCCCCUUCUGUUGUGGUGGCCAGCUCCCCUACCCCCAGUCUGGAACACAGAGAAAUGAAAAGAGCUGAGCUGAGAUUGGUUGUGCACAGACGCAGUUUGCGAUAGCUCGGGAAGAGCAGGAGCCUUAGUGAGUGGUGGGAAGAAGACCUGCUGGGAUCACUAGGCCUGCACUGUUCUGUUUUCUUUGAAUAAAAAGUUAACUGCA